rnacentral:tRNA from 1 species
UUGGCGAGUUGGCAGAUCAUGCAACCGACUUAGGAUCGGGAGAGGGAGCGGUAGCGCUUCACUCGCUUAA